UACGUAGGGUGCAAGCGUUGUCCGGAAUUAUUGGGCGUAAAGAGCUCGUAGGCGGUCUGUCGCGUCUGGUGUGAAAAUCCAGGGCUUAACCCUGGACCUGCAUCGGGUACGGGCAGACUAGAGUGCGGUAGGGGAGAUCGGAAUUCCUGGUGUAGCGGUGAAAUGCGCAGAUAUCAGGAGGAACACCGGUGGCGAAGGCGGAUCUCUGGGCCGGAACUGACGCUGAGGAGCGAAAGCGUGGGGAGCAAACAGG
rnacentral:rRNA from 1 species